rnacentral:lncRNA from 1 species
UGUUAAUUCAGUACUUUUUAGUUUUAUCCUUAUAUUUUGCUUUAGUGUAUAGUUACAACAAAAGAUUGUUCACACUGGUCAGCCAUGAUAACUUAAAAUCACAAUGUGGCGUUAACAACAUGCCCAUUACAAAUGUGGUGAAGAUGAAUGCUCCUGCUCCAGGUACCAAGGGCCACGGUUUCGUCACUGUCAGCGACGAUAUCACUCAAGAGACAGAUCCUUUGAUCGGAUUCGAGAAGAUUUUCUACUAUGUCCUGUAUGGACGUCAAAUUGAAAUGAAAACUAAAAUUCCUCCCUCUGGAAAUGAUACCGGACCUGAUACUUUGGAGCACUGUCCUAGUGGACAAGUUAUGCGGUAAGAUUCAUGCGAUGUACAUAGGUACCUAUAUAGGAAGAAAUUUUUCAACAUCUAUUAUAUAUAGGUAUAUUUAGAUUUUAUGUGUGUGUCCUUGUCUAUUGGCGCAACCGCGUAACAUGAAUAUUCCAUUCUAACAUCUUUUUUAUUGAUCA